CAGGAGCUGAACCCAAGCCGCCAAAGUGGAGCAUGCCCAACUUAACCACUAGGCCGUGGGGCUGGACCCAUCCUUUGCUAUAUUUGACCUUUGUUAACAACCCUAUUAUCUGGACAUUAUUAUCUUCAUUUGACAUAUGAGGAAACUAAGAAUUGAUUCGAUAACUCUCCCAUGGCUACCCAGAAAAAGUGGAACUCAAAUUUGGAAACUGGCUGAUCCCAAGUUCAUGUUCUUAAUGCCAUACUGCUUCAAAAGGAGAUAACGAGGAUGAAAAUUUCAUCUUGUUCAUAUAUGAAUUCCCAGUCAGUGUCUACCAUGAUGCCUGGUUCAGGAAGUUACCAAAUGACUAAGAAUUAAACGCAGUACAAUUGGACUAGCUUAUAAAGCCCUCUAAUUGCUGUAGGUAGCUCAUCCUUAUAAUAAUCACUGAAACUACAGUCUCUCACUCUAAUCAUUACCUUAGGAUAUGCUCAGGUCUUUAGAUUGUAAGUGCUAUGACUUAAUGUAUGCGUGGUAGAAUUUGCUGCAAUGGAUUUCUUUGUUACCUGGAACUAGUUACUAGGGCAUGCAUUCCCCAUGUACUGCCACAGAGCUAACAAAUUCUAUCUAUCCAAAAAGUAGUGGUCAUUUCCUCCUGCCUCAGCCUAUUGGAGGAUUACUCUGGGCUUGUUCAGUGUCAGUUCUGUAUCUCAGUAUCAGACAAGUCUACUGUCCAGUUGGAUCUGUGCAAUUUUAAAAUCCUACUCUAUACCUUAGGCUCUGCCUAUGUGAGGUCAACAUGUGAGUCACCAUUGUCAACCACAGCUUCAGACCCGGCACCUCUCCCUUAGACUCUCUUUCACACCACUUGAUUAGCCUUUAACUUCCAGCUCUGACCUGGACUGACUUCUCUUUUGGACCAUGCAAGGUUCUUGCUGCUACUCCCACACCAUUGCACCUUGGGCCCCAAUAACCUAACAACUCUCUUCCUGGGCUUUUGUCCCCUGUGUCUGCUCUUUUUUCUGAACUCUCAAGGCUUAUAUCCAUUCUAAGAGCCUUUAGUUCCUUUGGGAUGAGGAAAGGAAAAAAUAUCCAAGUAAAUGUGUGUGUCAAUUCUGUAGAUGGAUUAUGUAUGGCAUGAAUAUCAGUUUAGUUAUAGCCUGAGUGCCUAACGCAGAGCCUGACUCAUACUAAUCAUUCAAGAAAUUUAGGGGGAGUAAAUGAAUGUAUGCAGAAUUUCUAUCCAAUAGUAAUCCUAUCCAUCUUAUAUGCGGAAGAAUGGAGCAGAGUUCCAUGCAAUCAGAAGUGGCCCACUUUGGUGUUAUUUCUAUGUGUUACGCAGGUAAAAUUUUUCUGAGUACUUAAAAUAUGUACUCUUUCUUUUACUUGCUGAUGUCUGAAAUGUCCUUAGCCUAAAAACCAGAGUUGACUGUAAAUCCGUGAUGUCAUAUUAUUUCUUGGGAGUGUAUAUUUCUUUCCUUUGAAAUAGAGAGAAUAAGAGGCCUAUGUGCCUAAAGGGAAGGGUAACUAAUACAAAAAUGAAUAGUUUGGGGAAUUCAAAGUAGAUUUUGCUUACAUCUCAAUUCUGCCUGUAAUUGGAGUAUACAAAAUUCUCUCCCUCUGUCCUUGGCAGCAUUUUGGGGAAUCUUUGACAGAAUGACAAGUGCCAAGAACUUUAAUAAAUGCCCUGGAGAUGAGGAUGGGAGGCAGAUGGUAGCUGAGGAAUGAAACCAUAGAGUCCAGUGAACCUCUCUCAUUUAAGUCAUGUGGUUCUUAAUGAGAUCAAUUUCAGAAAAAGUAUAUAUCUAAUUAAGUUAUACCCAAACACUUUCAGCAGAAUAUUAUCAUGUUAAUCAAUUUCCUUUCCAUCUGAAUUAUACUAGGUCUUUCUUUUUCUUUAUUAUUUACUUUCUUUUUAAAACACAAUUAUUUAUAAUUCAAGUGGAGUUUUAUUAUGGCUCAUGAAAGCUUUUGCAUAGAAUUUAGCAUAUUCAUUAUUCCUUAUUACCAUUGCCAUGGAGGUCAAAUUAUUAAUUUUAGAAUCAUCAUGCAGCUUUAGAAUAUUUUGUAACAUGUUUGUGCUAGGGAAAUUUUAUUUGAUGUGUUCUUUAUGAAAUCAUUAUGUAAAAAGGACUAAUCCCUUUUGAAUUUUUAUAUCUGUUAGCAUCUCUACUGAAUCUAGUCAGUGUUUUACAUAAAGUGAAUGAGGAAUAUUUAAAGUAUAACAUAUUGUUGGGAGUUUUUUGAAUUUAUUAUGAAUCUCUGAAGUUCCAAAUAGUAGAAAAAAAAUUUCUUGGCGAUGUUGAUCUAAUUUGGUAGAUUGAUGAAGCUCCCUUAAUCCCAGAAAAAAUAAUGAAAAGGGACAGACACCUAGACAUAUAUCUGGUAAAAUUAUUGUAUUUCUAAAUUUAAAAAGAAAAUUUUACAAGCUUCUAUUAGAAAAAUAAUUUAUAAAAGUAAAAAGUCAAAAUAGCUGAGAGCUAGUCAACAGCGAAAUAACAUCAAUAUACAACAGAGAAGAAGUGAAAUAACAUCAAUAUACAACAGAGAAGAAGUGAUUGGGAUGAGCAAUGCUGAAGUCACUCCAAAUUUAAGUCCUCUGUUAUGAUGAAAGAAAGAUAUUACUGAGUGAGUAAAGAAUCAGAGGGGAUAUUACCUAUUUACCCUUCUUCACAAAGAAAAUAGUCAUAGCAAGGCUCUGACUGAACAACAGAUCAAGCACAACAGAGAUCUCUAAUGGAGAGGAAUGCAUCUGCACUAAACCCUAAAAGUUAACCCUAAAAAGACAGUGUUAGAGUGACAGAGUGUAUGCAAUAGAAAUGCUAAAUAAGUAUUCUUGGAGUAGAAGCCACAAUGUAUUCGGGGAAAUGUAAUGACUAAUUGGAUCACAACACGCUGAACUGAUAGUGUAUUCUGUGUUGGUGAGGGUGGAGGUGAGUAGUAGUAGGUGGAAAGAAACCAUUCUCAAGGGCUCAUCCUUGGGUGGGGAAGUAGUGAAGGACUAGAACCCGUUGCUGAGAAGAAAAUAGAGGAUAUGUUGGAACACUUCCCUUCAGUGUGCAGGAUUUGCCUUAGCAUGUUUCUAUAGGCAGUUCUGCUGGCAACAAAUUCUCUCAGCUUUUGUUCACCUGAAAAUGUCUUUAAUUCAUAUUUGUUUUUGCAUGAAAGCUUCAGUAGAUGUAGAAUCCUAGUUUUUUCUCCAGGACAUUAAAGAUGUCAUUCCGUAGUUUUCUGGCCUCCAUUAUUUUUGAAGAAAAGUAUACUUAGAUUCUUACAAUUGUUUCCCUCUUCAUAAUGGGUCUUUUAUUUUUCCCUCUGGAUUUUUAAAAUAUUUUUUCCCUUUAAUCUUUGACUUUCACCAGUUUGACUGUGAUAUGUCUAAGAGUGUAGUCAGUAUUCAUAAAUGUCUCACCCACGCGUGAGAGCAGUGGUUUAUCCCUUCAUUGUUGGAUGCAGUGUUUUAUAUAUGACCACAAAUAUUUCCUUCUAUCCAAACAGUUACCAAAAGAGACGAACUAUGUUUUUAUCUCCUUCUUCAAGCAGGAAUAUUUUUUUUCACUGAGGCCUUUCAAUGUUUCCAGCUUUAUAUUGAGAACUCAGUUCCAACCACACAACUUAAAGGGGCCUUUUUUUCUCACCCCAUGGAGCCAAUAAAACUCAGGGCUCUAGGUCCCUUUUAUCAGAUAUCCUCAAGGGAUAGAUUCAGCUGUUAUGUAUCCCUCUUGUUUUCAGCCUCUGAGGAGUUCCUUUAGACUUUUGAAACUCAAUUUUGCAAUUAAAAUAUUUUCUGAUAUUUUACCCAGCAUUUCUAGGUGUUUUUUGUUGGCAGGUUUUUCAGAAAAUCUAAUUUGCCACCCCCCGCCCCACUCCAGUUCCUUGUGUAGUUCUUGCUCAUCAUCUAGGCUGUAGAUGAAAAUUUACCUCCUCAGUGAGGCCUUCCUAAAUCUGCCUAGCUGAAGUAGCCAAUGCCCUCCAUCCUACACACUUCGUUUUCUAUCACUUGCUGAAAUUAAAUUAUUUAUAUGUGGAUGUGCUUACUAAUUAAUUUACUAAAUUUAACAAAUAUAAAAACAUUGAUUAAAUUAUUUUUUUAAAUUAACGUGGUCAUUUUUUUGUCACCCUAUUUACUUAGAAUCCUCAAAGUACCGGGACUUUGAUUCAUUCAUGGUAGUAUUUUUAGGAUUUUAAAAAGUGCCUGAUACACAUUGGUAUUCAUUGAAUUCUUGUUUAAGGAAUGAAUUACCCAACAAACAAAUGAACACACAGAUAGUUGUUUAUCAAAGGGUUUUAUUUGAUAUCCUCAAAUAAGACAGAUCAUUAAUUAUUUGACAAACUUUAGAGUUAACAUAAGGGUUAGGAUUAAAGCUAAAAUGUUAAGAAUACCUUUAUUAAUAAAUUAGAAAUAAAUAUGUCAAUCAGGUUAAGGAGCCAAUCUUAAAACUAUGUGCAAUUAGUUUCAUGCAAAUAAAAUACCAAUAAGAGACAAAGUUAUGGUGCAUCAGAAAUUGACAACUUGGCAGAGAAAGUCAAUCUGCAAAGAAGUGAAUUGAGCAAAGGUGCAGAGAGAAGCACCAAUGAGAUGCUCCAUGGAGAGAGACUGAGGGCAGAUUAAGAAAAAUACCAGGUGACUUUCCUUUUUCCACUGGAAUUGGGGUUACUUCUUACAUGUGGGUUCUGUUACAUUUUUCUAGUAUGUUUUCAAUAAAGGUGGUUUGAGAGUUUCUAUUUCUUUCAACAAAAUAUUCUGUAUUUUAUAAAAAUUGACCAAGUUACAUAGUUUGUGAAAUUUGGCAAUAAUUGAAGAAAUAGCUUCAGAUUUCUUUUGUUCUCAGGGCUGAUUGACAUGGCUUGCAUUGCAUAGUAAAAUGUCACUUACUCAUAGCAAAACUACUCAACAGAGAUGGGCCUGCCCUAGCAAGAAGAGAGGGGUGUUUCCAGAAGAUAUUCACAUUUGAAUCAGCAGACUGAGUAAAGAAGAUUGCCCUCACCAAUGCAGGUGGGCAUCAACCCAUCCACUGAGGGACUGAAUAGAACAAAGACAUGGAGGAAGGACAAAUUUACCAUCUGCGUGAGCUGAGACAUCCAUCCUCUCUUGCCCAUAGAUGUCGGCGCUUCUGGUUCUUGGGCCUUUGGGUUUGGAUUGGAACUACAUCACCAGCUUUCUUGGGUCUCCAGCUUGCUGACAGCAGAUGGUGGGAUUCCUCAGUCUCCAUAAUUACGUGAGCCAAUCGCUCAUAAUAAAUCUCUUUCUAUAUAUCUCCCCUCAUAUCUUAUUGGUUCUGUUUCUCUGGAGGACUCUGACUACUACCAUAGGCAAGUGGAUAUUCAAGUCUAGAACUGAAAGACCAUGCCUAAGUGGAUAAAAACUUGGAAAUCAUCAGCAUAUAAAUGAUACUUGAAACGACAGACUGGAUGAGAUCACCUCAGAGUCAAGUCUAGAGAAGAGAAAGAGACCCAGGAUGAGACCUGAUGAUAUUAUUCAAAUCUGUAUCUUAGCUUUCUUUUCAGUUUCAUUGAUCUUAUUAUUAUGAUAGUAAGAUAGUAUUUUAAUUAUAAUAGCUCUAUAGCAAGGCUUUAUACCUAUGAAAACAAAUCAUUACCUAUUACUUUUCUUUUUAAAGUAUUUUUGCAUUUCUUCCCAUCUAUACUUUCUAACAUAUAAACUUUUGUAUCACUUUACAAAAUCAAAAACUUCCUUUUUCUAUAUGAUACUAGUUAUGAUUGUGAAAGUUGGGUAUAAAAUGCAAUAACGUUGACAUUUAUUUGAUAUCACUGACAAACAAUUUUUGAGCUAGGCAAGUUAUUAGAGCUUCUCCAGCCUAUCAAGAUGAGGAUACUUAUGGGGACUAGGACUGGGUGAGUGGUCAAGAGAUAGCCUGGAGGGACAGAUUUCAUUCUGGGGUUGGCGAAGGGGAGGAGGCACACAAAUUGGGAGCCAUUGGAUAGACAUUCUGGCAAAUCUUUGGCAGUUAACACUGCCCUACUCCAGAUAGUGCCAAAGCAAAUGGAAUAUUUGGAACCAUUAAAGGAAAAUUCCAUCAUUUACAUUCAAAUUACAAGGAACUUGGUUAAAUUUGUGCACUAUGACUAUUUCUGAUAAUAGGUUUCAAUUUUUACUUUUACUUUUUAAAAGCCCCAAAUGUCAUCCAAACUCAGUGGAUUAGAAAAUAUUCAAGCUUUAGAAAAGUGAUACAGUCAAUUUUUAACUCAUUUUAAUAUGUAGUAUUGUGUUUAGGUGACGUUUUCUCUGUUCUCAUGAGGGGACUCUCCUUUUCCAGCCUCAUUUCUCCCAACUUGAAAUUUGGAGCGUAAUUUUCAAAGGAGCUAUUUGUGAUUUUGCAAGUUCUUCUCACUCUCCCUUUCGGUGCCUUUGUGCCUGUAGCUUUCUCCUUGCCUUGCUCCUUUCCCCUCUUCUUUUGUCUGGCUAACACCUACUCAUCUCUCAAAACCCAACUCAGAGAUCACAUUCUUUAUGAAGCUUCUAUGCCUUUUUCUGUUCUAGUGCCUUUUUUGUGUGCUUCCCAACUGUCCUGUAUUAUCUCUGUCACAGCAUUUAUGACAAUGUAUUGGAAUGUCUAUGUACUAACCUUGGACCUUCACUAGAAUGUGACCUCUUAGAAACUCCAGGAGGGUCUCUUUGAUCUCUGCAUCCCCAGCACCUAGCACAAGACCCAAGAGAGAUCGGACACUCACUAAAUAUUUGUUGAAUCAAUACACAGCCAAUCUGUCUUCUUAAGAAGAAUUCCACUUACGAGAAGAAAGAAGCUUUCUUCAAAUUUCACACUUUAAUAGGACACAUAACUCUGAAAUAUGAAAAAGAGAUUUAUGAAUGUACGGGUUGAAUGCAUUAGCUUGAAAUUCAUUUUCUCCUGUCAUCAACAUGGAACCAUUUCGAAGAGAAGUAGAUGUCAGAAGCUUAUGGAAUGUGAAUAGGAUAGCCAUAUAAAACCUUAUUUUUUCCAGGUUCUAAAGCUGCUGAUAGAUUUUAGAACUGAGAGGCUUGGAGCAGUGGAGAGAGUGUCACGCUCUUCAGGUAGACGUAGCUCGAAAAUGUGGUCCCCAGGACACACUCCUCGCAAAAAAGACAUCUUUUUCACAAUCUGGAAAAGACGUUUUAAAUUAUCUGAGGCCAAAGGUGUGAAAAAGAGCCUCCAAGCAGAGAGAAAAUAAAUGAUCUGCUUCACUGUUGAAUCUAGUGUUCUCAGGAAAUUGAAACUUGAAUUUCGUCUAAAUAUAAAGCAAUGGCAGAGCAGACCUUCUUGCUUUUCAUUCUCUGGCUUUUUGUCAGGUUGUGUUGGAAGAGAGAAUCUCUCAUUAUGUAACAGAAUUUCCCCUAAUGGAGCCUGCGGCAAACUUGAAACCAUACUUUGGUAUAUUGGAGAAAAAUAGGAACAGUAUUUUUUUUUUUAACUCAGAAAAAGUAGUACAUUGUCCCAAUUAAGUUCAUAGAGUAAUAGAGUAGCAAGGCUAGCAGGAAAUUUCAGUAUCUUUUAAUUCAACUUAUUGAUUUCACAAAUGAGGAAACAUUAAUAGAGUGAAGUAACUUGAUCUCAGAACCUUGAUAUUCUGAGGGCAUAGAUAGGUAAACAAAUAAUACAAAGCAUGGUAAAAAUACUUGAUAGAAUUGAUUGAAAAUAAGUCAAUGUUAGUUACUAGCACUGUACUUUUAUUUUGUGUGGGAAAUAUCUCCUUAUCUGUGAUGGCAAUCAUCAAAAUGUCCCUCCUUGUUAAUGAUAAAUGCUAUUUUGGCACAUGUAUACAUGGAAAGCAGGGUUCUGUUGAAUUGAAUGUCCAGUCUCUUGAAAAAUCGAUAAAGGCAGUGAGUUAGAAAAUGGAGAAAAUAUACAGAUGACCCAGUUGUAAGUUCCGAGGAGCACUGAGACCUCGUCAUAUAACCCCUACCUUUGUGAUUGAUGAUGCUGUAAACAGUCCCAGAGAGUGACACUAUUUCCGCAAUUACUGGAGCAAAUGUCAUAACCUCCUCCAGUCGGGAAAUCCUCCUUAUACUCACUGUGUACAUAAAGCCAUUUAUGCUUACAGAUAGUCAUAUAAUUUCUAACAAAAGCAAAAUAUUUUUAAUGACUAAGGAUGAUAGAAUUUCGUUUGUUAUAAAACUCUUUCACAUAAUUGCCCUUUUUGGUCCCCAUAAAAGCCCAGUAUAGUACUUACAUUUUCCACAUUCUGCAUGUGGAAUCUUAAGGCUGAUAGGUUAAAUGACUUGCCUAAGAGUUGCUGAGGGCUGAAAUCAUUGGCAGUGGAGACAAGGGGAGGGCGGGUUAGCCAAUACUUGCCCAUGGGAAAGAAUGGGGAGUCUUGGAUUCCAGAUGAUGACGGAUGUUUGGCAACAUUGGCCACUAAUACUCUUAAGACGAUUUUUUUUAAAAAGAGGAAUUAAUUUUUGUAUCUAAAUGGGGAGCCUAUUAUAUACUUGAUAUUUUCCUAGGUAUUUUGAAGGUUACUGUAUUUAUUUCCACAGUGAAUCUUCUGUAUAAUUAAAGCAAGCUGAUACAAUUUCAACAAUAGUUCUUGGCUGAAAGAACCACAAUCUGAACAACUUGGUUCCAUAGAGAUUUAGGUUAAAUAAAAAAAUUAGUUAUUUGUUUUUAUACACACACACACAAUAUGUAUCUAUACAAAGGCAGCCUAAUGAAGUGGUUGUAUACACAGGUUCUGAGCUAGGUAGACCCAUCAAAUCCCAAAUCAGCUGUUUACUAGUUAUUGGGCCUAAACAGCUGUGUGACCUUGGACAAUUUCUGAGUCUCAGUUUCUUCAUCUACAAAAUAGGAGUAAAUAAAAUUCUUGUAAGAUUGUAGUGGGAAUUAAAUGAGAUAGUUUUUAUAAAAUGUUUAGCAUAUUUUCUAGCAUGCAAUAAUCUCAAUAAAUAUUAGCAAUGAUAACAUAUAUAUGAUAUACAGUUCCAAAAAUAGAUUUGAGGCAGCUAUAAAUAUUCAUUAAAUAAUAGUUUAUUCAUACAACUUAAUAAGUAUGUGAAGAAAUUGAGGAGAUGAGGAAUAAGAGGACAAUGAAUAAAAUAUCGACAAUCAGAUUAGCACAUAAUAAUUGUGACAAAAUGCCCUGGACAUUGCUCUAUGUAAGCCAGAAAUACUGCUCCAAGCUUCAUAGAAAUUAAUGCACAGAGGAAAACAAAGUUAAUUAAAUUUUUUCAUGCCCUCAAAUAAAACUAAAACAACACUUUAGGAGAAUCCUAGCUUUCUCUAGGCUGACCAGUUUUGUGGACACUGUGACACUGUAAACAAGGUCUUCAACAUCUGCCCAAUGAAUAUAAAAAUAAAUUCUCAUUUCUUACAUGUUGAUGUAAACAAAGGCAUAACACCAAAGUAUAAUUCAGUAAAGCAGUUUCAUGUGUGAGGGAAACAUAUGACAUCUGCAUAACUCUCUGAUGGCCUGGCUUAAUCCAAUCUUGGCCCCGAAUUUAGGGUACUUAGAGUUAUAAAUGAACUCGACUCAGCUAAUCUUCCAUAAAUAUUAUUUAUUAAAGCCACCUUUUUGAGAAUAUAUUGCCCAGAACAGAAUGAAAAUUAUACUUUCUGGGAAGUAUCUGGGAGUUAGAAUUUUUUGGGCCAAUUAUGAAAGAUCCAUAAACUUUAAUUGUUAAAUGAGUUGAAAGUUGGGUUGAUAUUUACUUAUUAGAUGUCUAGUCACAUGACAUGCCACCAUAAAUCAAAUAGAGAGAUACAUUAUCUUUUUUUAAACUCAAAUUUUCCAAAACCUUAGAAGUUUUUAUUAAGACAACAAAUGUGAUAAAACUAUAAGCUCCAUGAAGGAACGAACUCUAUCUUCUUUAGAGCUUUAUCCCCAAACCUACAACACUCCCUUACACAGUGGAGAUAAAAGAUGGUUUUUAUUUUUAAAUAAUAAGGAAAGAAAUAGAUGGUACAAUGGGUUCAAAAGAGAAUCUGAGGAACAGACAAAUGUAUAGGCAUCAAGACCUGAAAAGAACUUACAAAUAGAUGCAAAACUGUGGACACUAGUCAAUAUCCAAAGAGAAAUAAUUAAUUGCAUUCCACCAGAUACAAUUAGCACUUCCAUGAACAAGAAUCAUUUGCAUUACUAUCAGUUUUCUACAAAUUAGUUGUAAAAUAGCCCAAAUACAACGACAGGCUGAGAUAACCUUGAAAUGUGUGCUAGACAGGAAAGCCAGUAAUCUUUUUGGUCUCUUUUACAAUUUGUCCCUAUGGUAGGCACUCCAAAAUAUUUUUAAUGAGCUAAUCAUACAUACUGAUUAAAUAAUGUGUUUAAAUUGGAUGUACCAUAUAAAGAAAUAUUUAAAGAAAUAUAAAUACAAAGCUAUAAUUUUUA